rnacentral:rRNA from 1 species
UACGGGGGGGGCAAGCGUUGUUCGGAAUUACUGGGUGUAAAGCGCGCGUAGGUGGCAGGCCAAGUCUGUGGUGAAAGCGCCCGGCUCAACUGGGCAUGGUCCAUGGAAACUGGUCAGCUGGAGGACGGUAGAGGCGAGUGGAAUUCCCGGUGUAGUGGUGAAAUGCGUAGAGAUCGGGAGGAACACCAGUGGCGAAGGCGGCUCGCUGGGCCGGUCCUGACACUGAGGCGCGAAGGCGUGGGGAGCGAACGGG